GACAGAGGUCCCGAGCGUUAGGCGGAAUCACUGGGCUUAAAGCGUGUGUAGGCGGAUUUGUAAGUACCUUGUGAAAUCCCACGGCUCAACCGUGGAACUGCUUGGUAUACUGCUUAUCUUGAGCCACCUAGGGGCAACCGGAACAAACGGUGGAGCGGUGAAAUGCGCAGAUAUCGCUUGGAACGCCAAUGGUGAAAACAGCUCGCUGGGGGUGUGCUGACGCUGAGACACGAAAGCCAGGGGAGCGAACGGG
rnacentral:rRNA from 1 species